rnacentral:rRNA from 1 species
AACGAACGCUGGCGGCAGGCUUAACACAUGCAAGUCGAGCGCCCCGCAAGGGGAGCGGCAGACGGGUGAGUAACGCGUGGGAACGUACCCUUUGCUACGGAAUAGCUCCGGGAAACUGGAAGUAAUACCGUAUGUGCCCGAGAGGGGAAAGAUUUAUCGGCAAAGGAUCGGCCCGCGUUGGAUUAGGUAGUUGGUGGGGUAAUGGCCUACCAAGCCGACGAUCCAUAGCUGGUUUGAGAGGAUGAUCAGCCACACUGGGACUGAGACACGGCCCAGACUCCUACGGGAGGCAGCAGUGGGGAAUCUUAGACAAUGGGGGAAACCCUGAUCUAGCCAUGCCGCGUGAGCGAUGAAGGCCUUAGGGUUGUAAAGCUCUUUCAGUGGGGAAGAUAAUGACGGUACCCACAGAAGAAGCCCCGGCUAACUCCGUGCCAGCCGCCGCAGUAAGAC